UACGUAGGCAGCAAGCGUUGUUCGGAAUUACUGGGCGUAAAGCGUGUGUAGGCGGUGUUCUAAGUUUGUCGUGAAAUCUCCCGGCUUAACUGGGAGGGUGCGGCGAAAACUGGAAUGCUAGAGGAUGGGAGAGGUAAGCGGAAUUCCUGGUGUAGCGGUGAAAUGCGUAGAUAUCAGGAGGAACACCUGUGGUGUAGACAGCUUACUGGACCAUUUCUGACGCUGAGACACGAAAGCGUGGGUAGCAAACAGG
rnacentral:rRNA from 1 species